UUGGUGCAGCACACGAAGAAGCGAGCAGCUGUUCUGCUUUUUCCGCAGGAACACGACACCUACCGAUGAAGAAAGUAUACCAGCUAUUUUGUUUCACUGGUUAACGUACAUCGUCCGCACACAUAUUGGUGGACAACAGUGCAAGUACCAUUAAUCUUUUCUCUUGACAUCCCCCAGCUCUUAGUACCAACAGGAGAAGACGCAGAAAGGCACUCGAUUGAAGAUGCUUUGGGGCUCCCUAUUUCUAAUCCUCCCAGCAGUGAUUUUCACCGCACUGGGUGAAACCAUUGUUGUCCAACCGGAAACAUCGGAUUCGUCUAAUGUAGUAGUCCCAUCAUCAGGCUCUGCGUCCACAAUUGUCAUCAAAAAAGAGCCACCGAAAGUGGUUGUAAUUAGCGAAGAACCAUCUCCGGUUAUCGUGAAAGUUCGAUGAUGGUCAUCGAACCUCGUAGAGACGACUGUGAUCCAGCGGCAGCAAGAUGACUGCUCUCCGACUGGACAACGCUGCACUUUACGCCAGAACGACA
rnacentral:lncRNA from 1 species